rnacentral:rRNA from 1 species
GUGAGGAAUAUUGGUCAAUGGAGGCAACUCUGAACCAGCGACGCCGCGUGGGCGAUGAAGGUCUUCGGAUCGUAAAGCCCUUUUCUUGGUGACGAGCAAGGACGGUAGCCAAGGAAUAAGUCUCGGCUAACUACGUGCCAGCAGCCGCGGUAAAACGUAGGAGACAAGCGUUAUCCGGAAUUACUGGGCGUAAAGAGCGUGUAGGCGGGUGCGCAAGUGGGGCGUGAAAUCUUCUGGCUAAACUGGAAGAGGUCGUUCCAGACUGCGGAUCUAGAGUUCGGCAGAGGGGCAUGGAAUUCCGGGUGUAGUGGUGAAAUGCGUAGAGAUCCGGAGGAACACCAGUGGCGAAGGCGGUGCCCUGGGCUGAAACUGACGCUGAGACGCGAAAGCAUGGGGAGCGAACGGGAUUAGAAACCCGAGUAGUCC